CUCCAGAGCCAUAUCACCAUGUAGCCCAAGACUGGUUACUCACUGAAGCUAAGCAGGGCUGAGCCUGGUCAGUACCUGUAUGGGAGACCACAUGAGAAAACUAGGCUGCUGUUGUAA
rnacentral:rRNA from 1 species